rnacentral:rRNA from 1 species
UGCAUGCAGUCGAACGCGCCCGCUUCGGCGGGCGAGUGGCGCACGGCUGAGUAACACGUGGGAACCUGCCCCCCGGUGGGGGAUAACGCGACGAAAGUCGCGCUAAUCCCGCAUACGUCCGCAGGGAGAAAGCGCGCACGCGCGCCGGGGGAGGGGCCUGCGGCCCAUCAGGUGGUUGGUAGGGUAACGGCCUACCAAGCCGAUGACGGGUAGCUGGUCUGGGAGGAUGGCCAGCCAGACUGGGACUGAGACACGGCCCAGACUCCUACGGGAGGCAGCAGCAAGGAAUUUUCGGCAAUGGGCGCAAGCCUGACCGAGCAACGCCGCGUGCGGGACGACGGCCUUCGGGUUGUAAACCGCUUUUCGGGGGGACGACAACCGACGGUACCCCCGGAAGAAGCCCCGGCUAACUCUGUGCCAGCAGCCGCGGUAAGACAGAGGGGGCGAGCGUUGUCCGGAGUCACUGGGCGUAAAGCGCGCGCAGGCGGUCGCCUAAGUGUCGUGUGAAAGCCCCCGGCUCAACUGGGGGAGGCCAUGGCAAACUGGGCGACUGGAGCGGCGGAGAGGCCCCUCGAAUUGCCGGUGUAGCGGUGAAAUGCGUAGAGAUCGGCAGGAAGACCAAGGGGGAAGCCAGGGGGCUGGCCGCCAGCUGACGCUGAGGCGCGACAGCGUGGGGAGCAAACCGGAUUAGAUACCCGGGUAGUCCACGCCGUAAACGAUGACCACUCGGCGUGUGGCGACUAUUGACGUCGCGGCGCGCCUAAGCUAACGCGUUAAGUGGUCCGCCUGGGAACUACGAGCGCAAGCUUAA